UUGGGCUUGACCUACCCAAUGCAGACCGGCCUUGCGUUAACCCACGCAAGGUGGAUGCCCAACUCGAUCUUCUGCACCUACACGAGGAAGAAGUCCGUGGGAAUUGGAUCGACGAGUUUUAGUUCUCGCAUAGGUAAAUUCGUCUCGCACCCUCAAAAGCAGGAAAGCAGAAUGAGAUGGGUUUCAAUAUGCUUUUCUUCACCAUUUUGUAUUGGUUUUUUUUUUUUUUUUUUAAAUAUUAGCUGACGUCAGCCGAUUGCACUGUAUCUGCAGGAGACGACUGUACAUCAAAGAACCUAUACCACCACUUUACUAUGCAUCUGAUGUGUCUUAAUUUUUUUUUUUCUUUUCUUCUCUCCUCCCGGCUUUAUCCUUUUGAAAUUCAAAAACAAUCUCAGAUGCCCCAAACAUUUCGCACCUCCCCCCUCCUCUCCAUCGUGUUGCCCCGUCUCGAGUGAGGGUACUUCUCUCUUCCUCUCCUACGCAUCUCUCCCACACUAACUCUCUCUCUGCUUGUUUCUCUAUCUGUCUCGAAUUUGGGCCAUUUGGACGAAAUCACAAUUAAGUGCUGCCGCGCUUUGCUCGAUUGAGAGGACAAAAGGUCUAACCUACCUCGUGAUCAUGAUGUUUUGUAACCCCAGCUUCAUUUCAACGAUUAUAUAGAACAAGAAGAGAUGCAAUUGAUAUCAGUGAAAGCUCACAGAGAUGCUUAAAGUCUUCUCAAUGCCAAAAGCAAUAUUGAGACGGUGUCAAAUGUUAGUGUUCCAAUUGUGAGUUUACCCUCUGAAGUUACCCGCUCCACAUACAUACAAUUAGAAGAUUGCAUUAUCCAGAACACUAAAUAAAGGACUUAUCAAGAACAAGAUAACUAUUUGAUCGUAUUUGAAGGCUUAAAAGUGUCUUUUUCGGCA